GAGCACAGAUGCGCUUCAGGACCUCAGCAUUACAGAGUUGUAAGGAGACAGAGCGAAACAGGACCAUCUCAGGGACCAGAGGAGUCACUCACUUCCUCAGUGUCACGUGGUGAGAUCAGGGUCAGCCUAGACUUUCUCUUCCCCAUUGAAUCCCUCUCUCUCUCUCUCACUCACUCAAUCUCUCCUAUUGUCUCUCUCUCUCUCUCUGUCUCUCUCUCCUCCUCUCUUCCUCGCAUUCUUUCUCUCAGUCUCUCUGUUUCCCCUUCUCUCUCCCUCUCUCUCUCUCUUUCAUCCUCUCUCCUUCCCUCCCUUUCUCUCUCCCUCUCUCUCUCUCUUUCAUCCUCUCUCCUUCCCUCCCUUUCUCUCUCCCUCUCUCUCUCUCUUUCAUCCUCUCUCCUUCCCUCCCUUUCUCUCUCCCCCUCUCUCUCUCUUUCAUCCUCUCUCCUUCCCUCCCUUUCUCUCUCCCUCUCUCUCUCUUUCAUCCUCUCUCCUUCCCUCCCUUUCUCUCUCAUUCUCUCUCUCUCUUUCAUCCUCUCUCCUUCCCUCCUUUCUCUCUCAUUCUCUCUCUCUCUUUCAUCCUCUCUCCUUCCCUCCUUUCUCUCUCCCUCUCUCUCUCUCUUUCAUCCUCUCUCCUUCCCUCCCUUUCUCUCUCCCCCUCUCUCUCUCUUUCAUCCUCUCUCCUUCCCUCCCUUUCUCUCUCCCCCUCUCUCUCUCUUUCAUCCUCUCUCCUUCCCUCCCUCUCUCUCUCCCUCUCUCUCUCUUUCAUCCUCUCUCCUUCCCUCCCUUUCUCUCUCAUUCUCUCUCUCUCUUUCAUCCUCUCUCCUUCCCUCCUUUCUCUCUCAUUCUCUCUCUCUCUUUCAUCCUCUCUCCUUCCCUCCUUUCUCUCUCCCUCUCUCUCUCUCUUUCAUCCUCUCUCCUUCCCUCCCUUCUCUCUCAUUCUCUCUCUUCCUCUCUUUUAAUCUCCUUCUGCCCCUUCACCUCCCUUCACUCAGUUCUUUCCACCUCACGGCACACUCAGGCAAAAAGUGA
rnacentral:lncRNA from 1 species